GAGCAAUCCACUUCUUCGGUUGCGCCACGUAACAACAUCACUCAAACAACACUGGCUCAACCACCAGUUCCCUGGUGUUGGCGCAGUAUUCGCGCACCCCGGUCUGUCC
rnacentral:sRNA from 20 species